UGAGUUGGCUGGGCAGUCGCCGGUAGCUUUUAGCAUCGGAGGAAAGUCCGGGCUCCGCAGGACAAAGUGCCAGAUAACAUCUGGGGGAUGCGAGUUCACGGAAAGUGCAACAGAAAAUACACCGCCGAUGGCCGAGGUUUCCUCGGAACAGGUAAGGGUGAAAUGGUGCGGUAAGAGCGCACCGCAUGUCCGGUAACGGGCAUGGCAGGGUAAACCCCAUCGGGAGCAAAACCAAAUAGAAGCGGCGCAUAACCAGUUCCUAGGUUGUCGCUUGGGUAGGUUGCAAGAGGUGUCCGGUAACGGUCAUCCUAGAUGAAUGACUGCACAUUAUGUGUUUUCACAUAAGGACAGAACCCGGCUUAUAG
rnacentral:RNase_P_RNA from 1 species